rnacentral:rRNA from 1 species
UACGAAGGGGGCUAGCGUUGCUCGGAAUCACUGGGCGUAAAGCGCACGUAGGCGGAUUGCUAAGUCAGGGGUGAAAUCCUGGAGCUCAACUCCAGAACUGCCUUUGAUACUGGCGACCUUGAGUCCGGGAGAGGUGAGUGGAACUGCGAGUGUAGAGGUGAAAUUCGUAGAUAUUCGCAAGAACACCAGUGGCGAAGGCGGCUCACUGGCCCGGUACUGACGCUGG